rnacentral:rRNA from 1 species
AGAGUUUGAUCAUGGCUCAGGAUGAACGCUAGCUACAGGCUUAACACAUGCAAGUCGAGGGGCAGCAUGAACUUAGCUUGCUAAGUUUGAUGGCGACCGGCGCACGGGUGAGUAACACGUAUCCAACCUUCCGUUUACUCAGGGAUAGCCUUUCGAAAGAAAGAUUAAUACCUGAUAGUAUGGUGAGAUUGCAUGAUAGCACCAUUAAAGAUUAUU